rnacentral:lncRNA from 1 species
GAUUCUUGCAAGCUCUCAGUCAGAACUAUGAAGUGAUUUUUCAGAGAAUUUUUCUUCAUAAUUUUUUUAAAGUGUAUUUUAAUGAACUUUAAUAUUAGCGUGCAUGUGAGCUUUCUGCCAGAAAAAGUAGCUUUUGUCACUCUGCACAUGCUAUUUUGUGAAAAAGCAAAACAAACAAAAAAACAAACACAAAAACAAACAAAUGAAAAAACCCUUUUCUCUUUCCUAGUUGCUCAUGUCUGACAUCUUGCAUUUGAGCACUGGGACUGAAUGCAAGGAGCAUGUGAUCUGAUGCUUUGUGAGCGAUGAGACCAUGGUUAUUGCCGCCAUCAGUCAGCAGAGCAAAUGAGUGGUUAAUGACGAGACUAAAAUGCAUCUUGCUGAAAGUUCAGGUGACUUUGCAAGAUUGUUCAAGAGCACCAUGUUCUGCUACCUUCAUUCAAAAGUUUUUUGAUCUCUUUCAUGGGAUACAGGAAAGGACUUUGAAUUCAGUGGCACUUGAGUUUGCUUGUUUGGGGUGUUUUCACUGA